CAAAAAGGGGGAAUUGUUGGAGAACGGCUCAGAGACAAGGGCCAUGAGCCCACCAAGCAGUUGUACGAUCAGAGCCUGUUCUAGGGGCUGAUGCUGCCUCGCUGAUGCUGGGAGUCACUAGGGUUUGCCUGCAGCUGCUCACAGCUGCUGAUACAGGA